UUUAAUGAGAGUUUGAUCCUGGCUCAGGACGAACGCUGGCGGCGUGCCUAAUACAUGCAAGUAGAACGCUGAUGUUUGGUGUUUACACUAGACUGAUGAGUUGCGAACGGGUGAGUAACGCGUAGGUAACCUGCCUCAUAGCGGGGGAUAACUAUUGGAAACGAUAGCUAAUACCGCAUAAGAGUGAUUAACACAUGUUAGUUAUUUAAAAGGAGCAAUUGCUUCACUGUGAGAUGGACCU
rnacentral:rRNA from 1 species